rnacentral:rRNA from 1 species
UAGUCCUACUUCAGAUUGGCGACAUGGCUUCCGGGACGGAUUAGGACGAUUCGGGAGAAAGAGCCUGAGAACGGCUACUACAUCUACGGAAGGCAGCAGGCGCGUAAUUACCCAAUCCUGACUCAGGGAGGUGGUGACAAGAUAUAACAACAACGAUGCAAUCGUGAUUGUAGUGAGGGUAUUCUAAACCGAACCACUAGUACGAUUAGAGGGCAAGUCUGGUGCCAGCAGCCGCGGUAAUUCCAGCUCUAAUAGCGUAUAUUAAAGUUGCUGCAGUUAAAAGCUCGUAGUUGGAUUUCAAGGACAGCUAAACCUCUCGGGAAGGCUUCCUACUAGUCUUCGGACUGUUACUGUGAGAAAAUUAGAGUGUUUAAAGCAGGCUUUUGCAAGAAUACAUUAGCAUGGAAUACGAAUGUGUUUAGAAUCCUGGUAAUCAACAAGAUUAAUAGAGAAAGCGGGGCAUUAGAUUUAAUUGCAGAGUGAAUUCUUGGAUCUGCUAAUUCUAUCGUAUGCGAAGCAUCUGCCAGGAUGUUUCAUUAACCACCACCCACCGACAGGGAUCAAAACAUCAGAUACUGUUGUAGUCCCAUCUAUAACUAUGCGACUAGAUUGAUGGAGAAUACAUUCAGUACCUUAUGGAAAAUCAAGUCUUUGGGUCCUGGGGGAAUACUGUCCCAGCUGAACCUUAAGAAUUGACGAGACACAGAUGACUGCGCUUAUUGACCCACGGGACUACAGUCACUGAGAUGAC